rnacentral:lncRNA from 1 species
GUAGCAGGAGAUUAAAUUCAGAAGAAAAAAAAAAGUUAAGUAUCCAUACUAAAGACAUAACGUUAUAUCAGCUACAUAGAAAGAAGAAACUUUAGUUUAGUUGGCUAGAUUAUGCUUAUACUGCAGCCAAGCCAGCCUACCAACAUCAUUCGGCAGACUCAUAAACAAUUCUCUUUUCACAUCAUCUUCAAACAAAUUCACUGCAAAGCACCACAACUCACUACAUGAUGUCAUUAAUCCGUCUUCAACCAUACGGUUAAUCACUCCUAUCGACGAGCUAAUACUAAAAUCACUAACUUCACAAGUCUUCAGUAUUUUCAAAGCACGCUGUUGAGUAGCAUUUUGUCGGGUCAUAUACUCCUUAAACAUUGUAGCUCUCUCUGACUCUGUCGUUUUACACUUUAUUGGAGUAGGUUUAGGUUUAGUACUCGUCUUGACAGACGGUGUACAUCCGUCACCUUGGUUUGGUGCUACACCCUCUUCUCGUCUCACCGCGUUUGCAAAAUUUGAAAAGGAGGUGGCCUCUUCAGUUUCCAUGUUUCCAAAUUGAGAAGACUUUAGGGCGUGUUCUGAAGAAUCAACUACGCGAUCCUCCUCGUCAUCAUCCUCAAGAGUCAUAUGAUAGGGUGCCACACUAUCGACAUGAUGUGCCUGGUUCAGGUCUACAAUUGGUGCCACAUAAUCUACUCCAUCGGCAGCUGCCUCCUCAAAUAACUGAUCCCAUGCCUCCUGCAACUCUCUAGACGGUUGUUUUUUCCGAACUAAUUUAAAUUCCGGAUU